UCUCCUGUAGCUCAGUGGUAGAGCAUUUGACCAGUGUGUGGAAGGUCACAGCUUCAACUGCACUGUUGGAAGAA